rnacentral:ncRNA from 1 species
GCACGCCUGUCGGGACCCGAAAGAUGGUGAACUAUGCCUGAGCGGGGCGAAGCCAGAGGAAACUCUGGUGGAGGUGCGAAGCGAUACUGACGUGCAAAUCGUUCGUCUGACUUGGGUAUAGGGGCGAAAGACUAAUCGAACCAUCUAGUAGCUGGUUCCCUCCGAAGUUUCCCUCAGGAUAGCUGGAGCCCAUUACGAGUUCUAUCAGG